CAAGAAGUUAAUAUAUAUGUUCAUUAAUGAUGAACAGAGUUACAAAAGGAAAAUCAAAUUACCAAAGAAAAGGCAUAAUGUGUCUUAAUUACAGUCCACCCCACACUGAACGAACUCGUUCUCUAAGUUUUUCUCAAUCCUCGUUCUGCCGAGAGGAAGUGAUGUUUAAUUCAGCCACAACAUCAUCAUCAACUUCCAACUUCUUGUACUGCUCAAUCAAGGACUUAAUUCGCUCAAUUCCUUGGGAGGCGUUGCGCUUUUUAGCAGCCAUUCUCGCCCUGCAGUCGUCCAUUUUGGUUUGAAGUUCCUUCAUCUGAGCAGCCAAAUUAACCAUCAAAGAGUCUUCAACCAUGACUUCGGAAGAGAUUUCUUUCAACUCGUCCUCAGCCUUGUUGAUCUCCAUACGCAAAGACUCUUUCUCAAAUACGGCUCGAAGAUAUUGAGUACUUUUGGCCUUUAG
rnacentral:lncRNA from 1 species